rnacentral:rRNA from 1 species
AGAGUUUGAUCCUGGCUCAGGAUGAACGCUAGCGACAGGCUUAACACAUGCAAGUCGAGGGGCAGCAUAAAAGGUAGCAAUACUUUGGGUGGCGACCGGCGCACGGGUGCGUAACGCGUAUGCAACCUGCCCAUAAGCGUGGGAUAACCCGGCGAAAGCCGGCCUAAUACCGCAUAAGACCAUACCGCCGCAUGGCAGAUAAGGUUAAAGGAGCGAUCCGCUUAUGGAUGGGCAUGCGUUCCAUUAGAUAGUUGGUAGGGGUAACGGCCCACCAAGUCAGCGAUGGAUAGGGGUUCUGAGAGGAAGGUCCCCCACACUGGAACUGAGACACGGUCCAGACUCCUACGGGAGGCAGCAGUGAGGAAUAUUGGUCAAUGGUCGGAAGACUGAACCAGCCAAGUCGCGUGAAGGAAGAAGGAUCUAUGGUUCGUAAACUUCUUUUAUGGGGGAAUAAGUAUGGGGACGUGUCCCUGUUUAUUGCAUGUACCCCAUGAAUAAGCAUCGGCUAACUCCGUGCCAGCAGCCGCGGUAAUACGGAGGAUGCGAGCGUUAUCCGGAUUUAUUGGGUUUAAAGGGUGCGUAGGUGGAUGUUUAAGUCCGCGGUGAAAGGUUGUCGCUUAACGAUAAAAUUGCCGUUGAAACUGGAUAUCUUGAGUAUGUUUGAAGUAGGCGGAAUGCGUGGUGUAGCGGUGAAAUGCAUAGAUAUCACGCAGAACUCCGAUAGCGAAGGCAGCUUACUAAACCAUAACUGACACUGAAGCACGAAAGCGUGGGUAUCAAACAGGAUUAGAUACCCUGGUAGUCCACGCAGUAAACGAUGAUAACUAGGAGUUUGCGAUAGACAGUAAGCUCUACAGCGAAAGCGUUAAGUUAUCCACCUGGGGAGUACGCCGGCAACGGUGAAACUCAAAGGAAUUGACGGGGGCCCGCACAAGCGGAGGAACAUGUG